rnacentral:SRP_RNA from 1 species
GACUCGGACCCAUGCGGUUGUAACGCCCAAACUUUGUCAGGACCUAGCGGUAGCAGCAAUACGGGAUGCUUAUAACAGGCGUGGACUUCGGGUCUUCG